CCUACGGGAGGCAGCAGUGAGGAAUAUUGGUCAAUGGGCGUAAGCCUGAACCAGCCAAGUCGCGUGAGGGAUGAAGGUUCUAUGGAUCGUAAACCUCUUUUAUAAGGGAAUAAAGUGUGGGACGUGUCCUGUUUUGUAUGUACCUUAUGAAUAAGGAUCGGCUAACUCCGUGCCAGCAGCCGCGGUAAUACGGAGGAUCCGAGCGUUAUCCGGAUUUAUUUGGUUUAAAGGGUGCGUAGGCGGCCUGUCAAGUCAGCGGGGAAAGUCUGUGGCUCAACCAUAGAAUGGCCGUUGAAACUGGUAGGCUUGAGUAUGUUUGAGGCAGGCGGAAUGCGUGGUGUAGCGGUGAAAGGCUUAGAUAUCACGCAGAACCCCGAUUGCGAAGGCAGCCUGCCAAGCCAUGACUGACGCUGAUGCACGAAAGCGUGGGGAUCGAACAGGAUUAGAUACCCCAGUAGUC
rnacentral:rRNA from 1 species